rnacentral:tRNA from 1 species
AGAAAGGUAAGCUAAGUGUAAGCUCAUAGGUUCAUACCCUAUUUAUGGCAUCCCCUCUUUCUA